rnacentral:rRNA from 1 species
GACGAACGCUGGCGGCGUGCUUAACACAUGCCAGUCGAACGGAAAGGCCUGCUUUCCCUUGUGGAUUGCGGGUACUCGAGUGGCGAACGGGUGAGUAACACGUGAGUGAUCUGCCCCCAACUUGGGUAUAAGCCUGGGAAACUGGGUCUAAUUCCCGAUAGGACUGCAGGGUGGUGCCUGUGGUGGAAAACGAUUUUCUAGUGGUUGGGGAUGAGCUCGCGGCCUAUCAGCUUGUUGGUGGGGUAAUGGCCUACCAAGGCGGCGACGGGUAGCCGGCCUGAGAGGGUGGACGGCCACAUUGGGACUGAGAUACGGCCCAGACUCCGACGGGAGGCAGCAGUGGGGAAUAUUGCACAAUGGGCGGAAGCCUGAGGCAGCGACGCCGCGUGGGGGAUGACGGCCUUCGGGUUGUAAACUCCUUUCGACCGCGAGGAAGCCACCUGGUUGGAAGGGUGGUGACGGUAGUGGUAGAAGAAGCGCCGGCUAACUACGUG